AAGGCUUUCACUGAAAUGACAUGCUUUCACAUAUAAGCAGACUGCUUUAGGGAAUCAAAGUUGACUUAUAGACUGAUAAAUCUCCUUGGAAGAAAGAACUGGUCUCAUACUUCAUCUACAUAGUCCCUGUAUAGGGUUCCUAACUGUGGGUUUCUACUGUCUUUUUCCUGAUUGCCUGCAAGCUAAAGCUUAUUCUUUAUGAUACAGAACUCUGCAGAGAGUCCCCACCAGCAAGAAGGCCCUCACCAGAUGCACCUCCCUUGACCUUGGACUUCUCAGCCUCC